CUGACUGCUAUCGGAUUGAUACUAAGCCAUGCGAGUCAUUGUAGCAAUACAAGGCAGACGGCUCAGUAACGCGUAGUCAACCUACCCUAUGGACGGGGAUAACCUCGGGAAACUGAGAAUAAUACCCGAUAGAACAUUAUACCUGGAAUGGUUUAUGUUUCAAAUAAUUUAUUGCCGUAGGAUGGGACUGCGGCCUAUCAGUUUGUUGGUGAGGUAAUGGCCCACCAAGACUAUUACAGGUACGGGCUCUGAGAGGAGUAGCCCGGAGAUGGGUACUGAGACACGGACCCAGGCCCUAUGGGGCGCAGCAGGCGAGAAAACUUUGCAAUGUGCGAAAGCACGACAAGGUUAAUCCGAGUGGUUUCUGCUAAAGGAACCUUUUGUCAGUCCUAGAAACACUGAUGAAUAAGGGGUGGGCAAGUUCUGGUGUCAGCCGCCGCGGUAAAACCAGCACCUCAAGUGGUCAGGAUGAUUAUUGGGCCUAAAGCAUCCGUAGCCUGCUUUGUUAGUUUUCGGUUAAAUCCAUACGCUCAACGUAUGGGCUGCCGGAAAUACUGCAAAGCUAGGGAGUGGGAGAGGUAGACGGUACUCGGUAGGAAGGGGUAAAA
rnacentral:rRNA from 1 species